rnacentral:rRNA from 1 species
CCUACGGGAGGCAGCAGUGGGGAAUAUUGGACAAUGGGCGAAAGCCUGAUCCAGCAAUGCCGCGUGAGUGAUGAAGGCCUUAGGGUUGUAAAGCUCUUUUACCAGGGAUGAUAAUGACAGUACCUGGAGAAUAAGCUCCGGCUAACUCCGUGCCAGCAGCCGCGGUAAUACGGAGGGAGCUAGCGUUGUUCGGAAUUACUGGGCGUAAAGCGUACGUAGGCGGUUAUUCAAGUCAGAGGUGAAAGCCUGGAGCUCAACUCCAGAACUGCCUUUGAAACUAGAUAGCUAGAAUCUUGGAGAGGUGAGUGGAAUUCCGAGUGUAGAGGUGAAAUUCGUAGAUAUUCGGAAGAACACCAGUGGCGAAGGCGACUCACUGGACAAGUAUUGACGCUGAGGUACGAAAGCGUGGGGAGCAAACAGGAUUAGAUACCCUGGUAGUCCACGCCGUAAACGAUGAUAACUAGCUGUUCGGGCUCUACGAGCUUGAGUGGCGCAGCUAACGCAUUAAGUUAUCCGCCUGGGGAGUACGGUCGCAAGAUUAAAACUCAAAAUGAAAUUGACGG